UGGGGAAUAUUGGACAAUGGGGGGAACCCUGAUCCAGCCAUGCCGCGUGUGUGAAGAAGGCCUUAUGGUUGUAAAGCACUUUAAGCGAGGAGGAGGGUACUGGUAUUAAUACUACCAGCUACUGGACGUUACUCGCAGAAUAAGCACCGGCUAACUCUGUGCCAGCAGCCGCGGUAAUACAGAGGGUGCGAGCGUUAAUCGGAUUUACUGGGCGUAAAGCGUGCGUAGGCGGCUAAUUGAGUCGGAUGUGAAAUCCCUGAGCUUAACUUGGGAAUUGCAUUCGAUACUGGUUAGCUAGAGUGUGGGAGAGGAUGGUAGAAUUCCAGGUGUAGCGGUGAAAUGCGUAGAGAUCUGGAGGAAUACCGAUGGCGAAGGCAGCCAUCUGGCCUAACACUGACGCUGAGGUACGAAAGCAUGGGGAGCAAACAGG
rnacentral:rRNA from 1 species